UACGUAGGUGGCGAGCGUUGUCCGGAAUUACUGGGCGUAAAGGGUGCGUAGGCGGCUCCUUAAGUGAGGUGUGAAAUCCCUGGGCUCAACCCAGGAACUGCACUUCAAACUGGGGAGCUAGAGUGCAGGAGAGGAAAGCGGAAUUCCAGGUGUAGCGGUGAAAUGCGUAGAGAUCGGGAGGAACACCAGUGGCGAAGGCGGCUUUCUGGACUGUAACUGACGCUAAGGCAAGAAAGCGUGGGGAGCAAACAGG
rnacentral:rRNA from 1 species